UAACGACUCUCGGCAACGGAUAUCUCGGCUCUCGCAUCGAUGAAGAACGUAGCGAACUGCGAUACUUGGUGUGAAUUGCAGAAUCCCGUGAACCAUCGAGUCUUUGAACGCAAGUUGCGCCCGAAGCCAUUUGGACGAGGGCACGUUUGCCUGGGUGUCA
rnacentral:rRNA from 15 species